AUUGCACAAUGGGCGAAAGCCUGAUGCAGCGACGCCGCGUGAGGGAUGACGGCCUUCGGGUUGUAAACCUCUUUCAGCAGGGAAGAAGCGAAAGUGACGGUACCUGCAGAAGAAGCACCGGCUAACUACGUGCCAGCAGCCGCGGUAAUACGUAGGGUGCGAGCGUUGUCCGGAAUUAUUGGGCGUAAAGAGCUUGUAGGCGGUUUGUCGCGUCUGCUGUGAAAAUCCGGGGCUCAACCCCGGACUUGCAGUGGGUACGGGCAGACUAGAGUGUGGUAGGGGAGACUGGAAUUCCUGGUGUAGCGGUGAAAUGCGCAGAUAUCAGGAGGAACACCGAUGGCGAAGGCAGGUCUCUGGGCCACUACUGACGCUGAGAAGCGAAAGCAUGGGGAGCGAACAGGAUUAGAUACCCUGGUAGUCCAUGCCGUAAACGUUGGGCGCUAGGUGUGGGACUCAUUCCACGAGUUCCGUGCCGCAGCUAACGCAUUAAGCGCCCCGCCUGGGGAGUACGGCCGCAAGGCUAAAACUCAAAGGAAUUGACGGGGGCCCGCACAAGCGGCGGAGCAUGCGGAUUAAUUCGAUGCAACGCGAAGAACCUUACCAAGGCUUGACAUAUACCGGAAACUUCCAGAGAUGGUUGCCCCCUUUGGGUCGGUAUACAGGUGGUGCAUGGUUGUCGUCAGCUCGUGUCGUGAGAUGUUGGGUUAAGUCCCGCAACGAGCGCAACCCUCGUUCUAUGUUGCCAGCACGUAAUGGUGGGGACUCAUGGAAGACUGCCGGGGUCAACUCGGAGGAAGGUGGGGAUGACGUCAAAUCAUCAUGCCCCUUAUGUCUUGGGCUUCACGCAUGCUACAAUGGCCGGUACAAAGGGCUGCGAUGCCGUAAGGUGGAGCGAAUCCCAAAAAACCGGUCUCAGUUCGGAUUGGGGUCUGCAACUCGACCCCAUGAAGUCGGAGUCGCUAGUAAUCGCAGAUCAGCAACGCUGCGGUGAAUACGUUCCCG
rnacentral:rRNA from 1 species